GGGACCCCUCCUCAGCCAUAAGGUGCGGGCGGCACCCCGAGCUUCCCAGGGACCCCAACCCCCCCACACCACCUCCCCCCCCCACCCCCCGGGACCCCCACCCUCCUUGCAGCCCUGCACCGAACCCCAUCACAGCACUGCUGUGGGGUGGGGAUGUGAUGGGGGGGGGGGGCAGCUGCAGCAAAAGGGUCCAAUGGUGUCUGACCCCAAAUUGGGGGCUGACCCCACGGGGACCCCGUAGCAUCCGACCCCACGAGUGGGGGGACCCAAAGGACACCAUACAGCACCCAACCACAGCGGUGGGGGGGACCCCGUGGGCACCCUGUGGUGUCUGACCCCAAAAUUGGGGGCUGAUCCUAUGGGCUCCCUAUGGUGUCCGACCCCAAAACUGGGGGAGGUCCAAUGGGCACCCUAUGGUGUCUGACCCCAAAACUGGAUGGUGGUCCUAUGGGCUCCCUAUGGUGUCUGACCCCAAAAUUGGGGGGUGGUCCUAUGGGCACCCUAUGGUGUCUGACCCCAAAUCGAGGGGUGACCCUACGGAUUCCCCAUGGUGCCCAAACCCAAAGUGGGGGCUGCCCAAAGGGAUACCCCAUAGUGCCUGACCCCAAUCUGGGGCUGACCCCAUGGGUGCCCUAUGUUGCCCCAUCCCAAGCUGGGGGGUGGCCCUAUGGGCACCCUAUGGUGUCUGCCCCCCAAAUUGGGGGGUGGCCCUAUGGGCUCCCUAUGGUGUCUGCCCCCCAAAUUGGGGGGUGGUCCCACUGCCGCCCCGUGGCAUCCGACCCCAAACCGAGGGCUGACCCCACGGCUACCUUAUGGUGCCCAACCCCAAAGCGGGGGAUAACAGCGGGGUGCCCCUCGGUGCCCCACCCCCCGGCACCCCGGGAGGGGCGCAUUCCCGGCCCCACAGCUCCCGGUGGGUUGGGGACCCCCCCCCCGUUGCGUUUUGGGGACCCCCAGGCGCACUCACCCUGCAGCCCCGCGUCCCUCUGCCGCUCCCAGCGCGUCCCCUCCUGCAGGGCGCUGCGUCCCACUGCCUCUCCGUGGGAGGGGGGGGUGCACCCAAAACACAGCAACAACCCCAAACCCGCAGCCCCCACUGGGGGUGGGGGGGGCCCAGAACGCGGCGCGGGGUUCAACCCAAAAAGGGGGGGGGGACCCUAAACCCCAAACCUGCGGCGUGCUGCUGCGUUGCUGCCUCUGCUCCGCAUCUCCCGACCCCCACAUUGCCCCCCCCAUGGCGUGGGGCGACCCUACAACCUUAUGGGGCGACCCUACAACCCUAUGGGGUGAGCCCAGGGGAGGGGGAUGGGACAGACAGUGAGGUGGGGGGGAGCACAGAAGGUGCAGCAGCAGAGGAGAAGUGCAGCGCCCAGCAGCAAUGCAGCGCCCAGCAGCAAUGCAUCGCUCAGCAGCAAUGCAGCACUCAGCAGCAAUGCAGCAACAACACAGCAGUGGCAGCGAUGCAAAACCCAACCCCGCCUCCCCUCCCCUCCCCCAUCCCAAAUGCACGCAGCCCCAGUGCAGCAGCAGCAGCAGAAGUUGCUGCAGGGAUGCAAGGAUGCGUUGCUGGGGGGGUGCAGGGACGGAAUGCUGCAGAGAUGCAGGGGUGUGGAUGCAGGGCUGCAGGGAUGUGGAUGCAGGGCUGCAGGGCUGCAGGGCUGCAGAGAUGUGUGGGUGCAGGGCUGCAGGGCUUUGUGGAUGCAGGGUUUUGUGGAUACAAAGAUGCAGGGAUGUGGAUGCAGGGCUGCAGAGAUGCAGAGAUGCAGGGCUGUGGAUGCAGGGCUGUGGCUGCAGGGCUGCAGGGCUGUGGAUGCAGGGCUGCAGGGCUGUGUGGAUGCAGGGCUGUGUGGAUGCAGGGCUGCAGGGCUGUGGCUGCAGGGCUGUGGAUGCAGGGCUGCAGAGAUGCAGGGAUGUGGAUGCAGGGCUACAGGGCUGUGGCUGCAGGGCUGUGGCUGCAGGGCUGUGUGGAUGCAGGGCUGCAGGGCUGUGGCUGCAGGGCUGUGGCUGCAGGGCUGCAGGGCUGUGUGGAUGCAGGGCUGUGGAUGCAGGGCUGUGGCUGCAGGGCUGUGUGGAUGCAGGGAUGCAGGGCUGUGGCUGCAGGGCUAUGGAUGCAGGGAUGCAGGGCUGCAGAGAUGCAGGGGUGCAGGGGUGCAGGGCUGUGGCUGCAGGGCUGCAGGGCUGCAGAGCAGGGCCGUACCUGAGAAGAAGUGCGCCUUGAAGCCCUUCUUGGACACGGUGUUGUCGGACUUGAACUCGAUGCGCAUGUUGUUGUACUGCGACGUGAUGACGGCCGGCCGCGCCGCGCCGCAGAACUUCCCGUGCAGCUUGGAGUCGGCCGUCAGCCCGCUGCGCACCUCCACAAAGUCGUACUUACACACCUGGGGGGCGGGGCGGCUGGGUGACACGGGGGGGUGACGGGGGG
ensembl:lncRNA